rnacentral:misc_RNA from 1 species
UUAAGUUCAGCGGGUAUCCCUACCUGAUCCGAGGUCAACCUGAAAAAAUUGGGGGUUGAUGGCGAGCACGCGCCCGGGCCUCCAAAGCGAGAAAAAUUACUACGCUCGGAGCCGGACGGCACCGCCACUGACUUUAGGGCCCGCCGAGGCGGCGGGGCCCAACACCAAGCAGAGCUUGAGGGUUGUAAUGACGCUCGAAC